rnacentral:rRNA from 1 species
ACUCCUACGGGAGGCAGCAGUGGGGAAUUUUGGACAAUGGGCGAAAGCCUGAUCCAGCCAUGCCGCGUGAGUGAAGAAGGCCUUCGGGUUGUAAAGCUCUUUCGGUAGGGAAGAAAUUGCACGGGUUAAUACCCUGUGUAGAUGACGGUACCUGGAGAAGAAGCACCGGCUAACUACGUGCCAGCAGCCGCGGUAAU